rnacentral:lncRNA from 1 species
GAAUCCGACUAGGAACCAUGAGGUUGCGGGUUCGAUCCCUGGCCUUGCUCAGUGGGUUAAGGAUCCAGCGUUGCUGUGAGCUGUGGUGUAGGUCACACAUGGAGCUCGGAUCCUGUGUUGCUGUGGCUGUGGUGUAGGCCGAGAGCUGUAGCUCUGGUUUGACUCCUAGCCUGGGAACCUCCAUAUGCCGUGGGUACAGCCCUUAAAAACAAACAAACAAACAAAAAACUUCUGUAUUUGAGUUUUGUUGGAAUUAAUGCAUUUUUGCUGUCGAUGGUAGUUUUCCAGAUGAUCCGAAGGGUGCUGGCAACUGGCAACCAGAGUAUUUGAUCAAGGACCCUAAGGCCUGCAGGGAGGAGGUGAAUCAUGGCAGAGCCACAGGGAGGCUGGAGGCACCAGUGAGUCCACAUAACAGGUGGGGUGGGGUCAAGGAAGGAAAGGACUGCAGGCACGUGAUUCCAGAAAGAGGGGGUUCCAGACGGGGCCAAGGGAGGAGCAGGGAGGUCCAGGGAGCACGAGGGCGGGAACAUACAUGGCCCUAACGUCAGAGGAAGAGCAAAGCUGGGACGGAAGCUUGCUAACACCACCUCUUACCUGGGCAGGUGUCAGCCUCCCUGGUGCACGAUGCUCACCAGUGUCGCGGCUCAGGCAUCAGGGACUCCACCAAACCACAGUUCUAACUUAAAUCCCUGUUGGUUUCCUUUACACUGAAGUGGGAGAGCAUGAAUUAAGACUGAGAGUAUUGAGAGGGCCUGUUGGUUCCUCUCAUCUUAGGUCUAAAGAUUUUCCAAACUUUCCCUAAAGCCUCAGCUCUCACAGCAUGAGCUUGGGCUCGAAAAUUGUCAUUCUGGGGAGUUCCCUUUGUGGCUCAGCGGUUAACGAACCCGACUAGGAUCCAUGAGGAUGGGUUGAACCUGCAUCUUCAUGGAUACUAGUCAGAUUUGUUUCCACUGCGCCACAAUGGAAACUCCUGGACACUCCUAUUUUUAAAAUGAGAGUUGCAAUGUACAUUUCAGGUUCUCUCUUGUGUUUUUGUUUGUUCGUGUUUUUUGUCACAUGGGCAUUAUGUGGAGGUUCCUGGGCAAGGGAUUGAACUUACAUCACACAGCAGCAACCAGAGCCCCACCGGUGAGAACACAGGAGCCUCAACCUGCUAGGCUAGCAGAGAACUCCCCUUUCAUUAUAUUUUAAGCUGAAGCUGCAGUAGAGGGCAUGGGAAUCAUUUUUGUACAUUUCUCCUUUAACACCGCCUCUUGGAGUUCCUGAUAAAUUUCAUGAAUAGGCUAAUUUUGAACCAUGUUUGCAUUCCUGGAACAAACCCCCUUGGUUGUGAAGUUUCAUUACUGAAGCACAACGUAGGAUUUGCUUUAGCAACAUCUAAAUGCCUUUCAUCCUCGGCUAGGACUUGCUGCCAGGGUUCCCCUCUCCUCGUCAGCAUUUAUUCAUCUUCCUCUUCGAGGGUUGCUCUUUUUCCUGCUAAAAACAACCUAACUUCCCCAAACCCCACCCUUCCUUUUGUUUCUUCCCUUCCCGGCAUCCGAAAUGAAUGCUUUGGGCCAGCAGGCACCAUGCACUGCCCACUCUGUCCUGGGCCCCGUGACCCAGCCCCCUGCUUUCUGCAUGCUCCCUGGCCAGGGGCAUACUCGUCUCACUUCUGGCUGACCCUCUGGGGUCCCUGUUCCCUGCCCUGACAUGUCCAUCUCCUCCCAGGGCCAUGAGUCACGUCCCUUUUCUGCUCCUCUUUCUUGUGUCUUCUCCCGCCACCGGCAGGAUCUCAGGUUGCUGACACCUGAGAUGUCCCGGCUCUUGUAUCCUGUCCCCACUUUGCCACUAGACAGACUUCACCAUCACUCCGAAUUCUAUAGAUCUGAAGUUCAUCCUCUUCCUUCCUCUCCAUCUUCCUACAUCCCACAGUUCCUCAAGACAGAGAAAACCCCUCUCAGCCUGCAUAACUCGGACUCAGAAACCCUGGACACGCCGGUUUUCCUGGACACGCUCCUCCCAGCCGCCCUUCCCCCUCGGUACCCAGACAUUCUCUUACCAGCUCUGACAACAUAAUCUCAUUCUGUCCUUCUGAGCUCUGACAACCAGAUAACUGUGAUCCCAUUUUACAGAUAGGGAAGCUGAGGCUCCAGGAAAUCCAUGCGUUACCAGAUGGGGCAUCUAUGCAUUGCAGAGCCUAGGAAGAGGCAGGGAGAUCCUCAGCAGACGCCUCCCUCCAAAGCGUGUCCCAGCUCCGUGCAGGUCUCACUGUCUCGCUUUUGUCUCUUGCCCCAUUUUCGUCCACAGUUGGUGAUGAAAUCAGACAGCCAAACACUAAGCCAAAGCCCCCAAUCUUGGUGGCACGUUAAAGAAUCAGGGCCAAGGGAAUUUCUGUCGUGGCUCAGCGAAAAUGAAUCUGACUAGGAACCAUGAGGUUGUGGGAUUGAUCCCUGGUCUUGCUCAGUGGGUUAAGGCUUUAGCGUUGCUGUGAGCUCUGGUGUAGGUCGCAGAUGCGGCUUGGAUCUGGCAUAGGCCAGCUCUGUGGCUCUGGCAUAGGCUGGCAGCUACAGUUCUGAUGAGACCUCUAGCCUGGGAACCUCCAUAUCCUGUAGGCGCAGCCCUAAAAAAGAAAAAAAGAAUUAGGGACCAGAGUGGCACAGUGGAUUAAGAACCUGACUGAAGUGGCUUGGGUCACUUCCGAGCACAGGUUUGAUCCCCUGCCUGGAUUCUGCAUUGCUGCAGCUGUGGCAUAGGUUGCAGCUGCAGCUCGGAUUCAAUCCCCAGCCAGAGAACUUCCAUA